UACGUAGGCAGCAAGCGUUGUUCGGAAUUACUGGGCGUAAAGAGUGUGUAGGCGGUGCUCUAAGUUUGGUGUGAAAUCUCCCGGCUCAACCGGGAGGCUGCAUCGAAUACUGGAAUGCUAGAGGGUGGGAGAGGUAAGCGGAAUUCCUGGUGUAGCGGUGAAAUGCGUAGAGAUGUGGAGGAAUACCGAUGGCGAAGGCAGCCCCCCUGGGCCAAUACUGACGCUCAUGCACGAAAAGCGUGGGGGAGCAAACAGG
rnacentral:rRNA from 1 species